UUAAGCGACUAAGCGUACACGGUGGAUGCCCUGGCAGUCAGAGGCGAUGAAGGACGUGCUAAUCUGCGAUAAGCGUCGGUAAGGUGAUAUGAACCGUUAUAACCGGCGAUUUCCGAAUGGGGAAACCCAGUGUGUUUCGACACACUAUCAUUAACUGAAUCCAUAGGUUAAUGAGGCGAACCGGGGGAACUGAAACAUCUAAGUACCCCGAGGAAAAGAAAUCAACCGAGAUUCCCCCAGUAGCGGCGAGCGAACGGGGAGCAGCCCAGAGCCUGAAUCAGUGUGUGUGUUAGUGGAAGCGUCUGGAAAGGCGCGCGAUACAGGGUGACAGCCCCGUACACAAAAAUGCACAUGCUGUGAGCUCGAUGAGUAGGGCGGGACACGUGGUAUCCUGUCUGAAUAUGGGGGGACCAUCCUCCAAGGCUAAAUACUCCUGACUGACCGAUAGUGAACCAGUACCGUGAGGGAAAGGCGAAAAGAACCCCGGCGAGGGGAGUGAAAAAGAACCUGAAACCGUGUACGUACAAGCAGUGGGAGCACGCUUAGGCGUGUGACUGCGUACCUUUUGUAUAAUGGGUCAGCGACUUAUAUUCUGUAGCAAGGUUAACCGAAUAGGGGAGCCGAAGGGAAACCGAGUCUUAACUGGGCGUUAAGUUGCAGGGUAUAGACCCGAAACCCGGUGAUCUAGCCAUGGGCAGGUUGAAGGUUGGGUAACACUAACUGGAGGACCGAACCGACUAAUGUUGAAAAAUUAGCGGAUGACUUGUGGCUGGGGGUGAAAGGCCAAUCAAACCGGGAGAUAGCUGGUUCUCCCCGAAAGCUAUUUAGGUAGCGCCUCGUGAAUUCAUCUCCGGGGGUAGAGCACUGUUUCGGCAAGGGGGUCAUCCCGACUUACCAACCCGAUGCAAACUGCGAAUACCGGAGAAUGUUAUCACGGGAGACACACGGCGGGUGCUAACGUCCGUCGUGAAGAGGGAAACAACCCAGACCGCCAGCUAAGGUCCCAAAGUCAUGGUUAAGUGGGAAACGAUGUGGGAAGGCCCAGACAGCCAGGAUGUUGGCUUAGAAGCAGCCAUCAUUUAAAGAAAGCGUAAUAGCUCACUGGUCGAGUCGGCCUGCGCGGAAGAUGUAACGGGGCUAAACCAUGCACCGAAGCUGCGGCAGCGACACUAUGUGUUGUUGGGUAGGGGAGCGUUCUGUAAGCCUGUGAAGGUGUGCUGUGAGGCAUGCUGGAGGUAUCAGAAGUGCGAAUGCUGACAUAAGUAACGAUAAAGCGGGUGAAAAGCCCGCUCGCCGGAAGACCAAGGGUUCCUGUCCAACGUUAAUCGGGGCAGGGUGAGUCGACCCCUAAGGCGAGGCCGAAAGGCGUAGUCGAUGGGAAACAGGUUAAUAUUCCUGUACUUGGUGUUACUGCGAAGGGGGGACGGAGAAGGCUAUGUUGGCCGGGCGACGGUUGUCCCGGUUUAAGCGUGUAGGCUGGUUUUCCAGGCAAAUCCGGAAAAUCAAGGCUGAGGCGUGAUGACGAGGCACUACGGUGCUGAAGCAACAAAUGCCCUGCUUCCAGGAAAAGCCUCUAAGCAUCAGGUAACAUCAAAUCGUACCCCAAACCGACACAGGUGGUCAGGUAGAGAAUACCAAGGCGCUUGAGAGAACUCGGGUGAAGGAACUAGGCAAAAUGGUGCCGUAACUUCGGGAGAAGGCACGCUGAUAUGUAGGUGAAGUCACUUGCUCAUGGAGCUGAAAUCAGUCGAAGAUACCAGCUGGCUGCAACUGUUUAUUAAAAACACAGCACUGUGCAAACACGAAAGUGGACGUAUACGGUGUGACGCCUGCCCGGUGCCGGAAGGUUAAUUGAUGGGGUUAGCGCAAGCGAAGCUCUUGAUCGAAGCCCCGGUAAACGGCGGCCGUAACUAUAACGGUCCUAAGGUAGCGAAAUUCCUUGUCGGGUAAGUUCCGACCUGCACGAAUGGCGUAAUGAUGGCCAGGCUGUCUCCACCCGAGACUCAGUGAAAUUGAACUCGCUGUGAAGAUGCAGUGUACCCGCGGCAAGACGGAAAGACCCCGUGAACCUUUACUAUAGCUUGACACUGAACAUUGAGCCUUGAUGUGUAGGAUAGGUGGGAGGCUUUGAAGUGUGGACGCCAGUCUGCAUGGAGCCGACCUUGAAAUACCACCCUUUAAUGUUUGAUGUUCUAACGUUGACCCGUAAUCCGGGUUGCGGACAGUGUCUGGUGGGUAGUUUGACUGGGGCGGUCUCCUCCUAAAGAGUAACGGAGGAGCACGAAGGUUGGCUAAUCCUGGUCGGACAUCAGGAGGUUAGUGCAAUGGCAUAAGCCAGCUUGACUGCGAGCGUGACGGCGCGAGCAGGUGCGAAAGCAGGUCAUAGUGAUCCGGUGGUUCUGAAUGGAAGGGCCAUCGCUCAACGGAUAAAAGGUACUCCGGGGAUAACAGGCUGAUACCGCCCAAGAGUUCAUAUCGACGGCGGUGUUUGGCACCUCGAUGUCGGCUCAUCACAUCCUGGGGCUGAAGUAGGUCCCAAGGGUAUGGCUGUUCGCCAUUUAAAGUGGUACGCGAGCUGGGUUUAGAACGUCGUGAGACAGUUCGGUCCCUAUCUGCCGUGGGCGCUGGAGAACUGAGGGGGGCUGCUCCUAGUACGAGAGGACCGGAGUGGACGCAUCACUGGUGUUCGGGUUGUCAUGCCAAUGGCACUGCCCGGUAGCUAAAUGCGGAAGAGAUAAGUGCUGAAAGCAUCUAAGCACGAAACUUGCCCCGAGAUGAGUUCUCCCUGACUCUUUAAGAGUCCUGAAGGAACGUUGAAGACGACGACGUUGAUAGGCCGGGUGUGUAAGCGCAGCGAUGCGUUGAGCUAACCGGUACUAAUGAACCGUGAGGCUUAACCUU
rnacentral:rRNA from 1 species